UACGUAGGCAGCAAGCGUUGUUCGGAGUUACUGGGCGUAAAGGGUGCGUAGGUGGCUCUAUAAGUAUGGUGUGAAAUCUCCCGGCUUAACUGGGAGGGUGCGCCGUAGACUGUGGGGCUAGAGUGUGGGAGAGGAAAGUUGGAAUUCCUGGUGUAGCGGUGAAAUGCGUAGAUAUCAGGAGGAACACCGGUGGUGUAACGCUUCUGGACCAUAACUGACACUGAGGCACGAAAGCGUGGUAGCAAACAGG
rnacentral:rRNA from 1 species